CCUUUUUCAAAGACCAGCGUAGCCGUACACAAAUAAUGCACUAUGACUGCACUACUGUGAGUGCAAACUAUUGGAUAGCGCCUUCAACACCAGAGAAUACAAACGCACAUCCAAAGAGCACGAAUAGUUGUAUUUAGCCAUCAGGAUUCUCUCUGUUUGCUCGUGGCUAUGCAGUGCAAAGGAAAAACUCCGUAAGAAUAUUCAGAUGUUGGCAAAUUUUGUCCGAUUAAAUAUUUAUUUUUGAAGAAAGUUACGAAAGAUACUUUAGAUCAAGUUGCAAAUGAAAUGUUCUGAAAAAUUCAAAGAAAAAUAUUCACAUGUUUCCCUGAAAAUUUUUAUUUUAUCCGAGGUUUGGCAACAUCUAAAGGCUCAUACGGUGUUCUGCACUGGGAUCACAGGUGCACCUUCAACACCCAAUAUGCAACACAGAUAUCCACAAAGCACGAAUAGUUUUAUCGAGCCAUGGACAGGAAUCGAUCCAUUGAUUUGUUUUCACUUUUGAAUUUAAACGGGAAUGUCUCAGAUGAUCCCCAUGUUCCUUAUCUCCAGUGAGAAAUUAAUCUUGACGGAUUUGUUGGGAGCAUAAAGAUAACAUAAAAAUAAUAAUGCAGAACCGGCAACCUAGUUGAGGCCACCGAAAUAUUGGAGAAAUUGCAGAAUAACCCUUCUGCCGGGGAUUUCAAUUUAUCACAACUAGAUGUUUUAAAAUGUUAAUGAAAUUGUAUACAACUGUUGCUCGCAGGUUCGUCAUGGAAACUGGGUCGUGAUUAUGGGAAUAAUUUAACCACAAGAGCCUUCAACUUGCAGCCGGACAUCAGGUGGGCUGCACCCAAUGGCACAUUGUACACGUUGAUGGUCAUAGGACCAGACGUACCCACCAGAGACAAACCUGAUGAAAGGUACUGGCUUCAUUGGCUUGUUGGGAAUAUACUGAACAACGACACAGCGAGUGGUGAGACACGUGCAACAUACGUCGGAAUAGAGAGACCGAUGUAUGAAGAUGGAACUCAUCGUUUGGUGUAUCUUUUGUACAAGCAUCGAGACAAUCGUCAAGCAUUUUAUUUUGGAUCCGUCAUAGAAAAACGAAUGACCAUGUACAAACGGAAAUACUUUUCGCCAAAAGUUUGGGCGGAAAUGCACGAACUUAACCACCCAGAAGCUGUAAAUUUCUGUUAUAUCUCGGUCCCGUGAAUUCCUAGAGCAUGCAGUCGUGGACAGAAAAUUGCUUGCUUUAAUAAUGGGACGGAUUGGCACAACAAUCGUGCAUUUCCGAAUACGAUCUUGAAACUUUCUGGAAGUUUUCUACAUCUAUAAAGAAACAAAUUUAGCCUGAAUGCACAGUUUUAUAGGGUGAUGGGCUCUCGGGGGGACCCUAAAAUCAUGAAAUUUACGUUUUGUGUGAGAAUUUUCAUGUAAAAGUGGCUAAACUGACAGAAUUUCCGGAAUUUUUCUGGAUGAUGUGACACCAGCUAUCACACGUUUGGUUCAUACGAUCGAACCUCUUUUCAAUGAAACCGCUAAUUUCCAGAUGGAAUUUAUGGAUAUUGCGUUUGUUGAUACAGAUUAUUUCAACAAAACGGGACUAUCUGCACCGGUUUCAAAAAUUGAGGCAAGUAAAAAAUAGAAUUAAAAGGGAAAAAAGACUCUGACCAAGGGGAAAACAUCUGACCAAAAAUGUAGUAGUAUGUUGGUUAAAAUUAACGUAAAUUUGGUAAACACGGUAUGUUGGGAUCAUAUUGUUUACCUUUAAUUUCAAUCUAUGUAUUUUAUUUAGUUUGUCAUCAAGAAGACCGCAUGAUGGUAGCAACUCAAUUUGUAGCACACGUAAAUUAAUCGUGAAACAACGUACCUUGAGUUAGGUUCCUGUGUUUCAAAAUCUCUGCUCCUAUUUCAGUUUUUCGAAAAGAAGCAUGUCAACUCUAUAGCUUGGAAUUCAUACGAAAUAUUCUGACAUAGAAGAGAGAGACCAAGAAGGUUUUCAAGAAAUUAAAUUGACCAGUUUUCCAAAGAAAUAUAAAGUAUAUCAGGAAGUCUGCGACGUCGCAAACAGAGAUACAUGGUUUCGCUCUUUAACCAUCGGUAUACCGUUUAAUUACUUUUAGAUAGAACAAAUUCAUAUAUUUGAAUUAAUGAAUUUAUCUUUAUCGCCUCCUUUGGUGCAACUGGUGUAAGGUUAGGAACAAUGAAGUUGCCAUAGAGUAGGUCGGACACGGUGUUGUUAAAAUUUAACUCUGGAUCAUCCUCUGCUCGUGUAAAAGCUUCAACUCAGAGCAAUAUCACAAAUCAACUGAACUGGCGCCCCAUGGAAUUUGGAGCAGUCCAUUUGUUGAAUUCACCCUAAAAUCAUAAUUAUCAUGCUCUACGAUAUGAACUCAUGUGAGUAACGCGUGACUCAUAACACCUGAGGUUCGAAUGGCUUCGGCGCGGCGAGUGGAACUGCGAAGCGUUCACGGGUGGCCCCCAAUUUAGAAAAUUUUCUGAAUUGUUGCUCAAGGGGCUAAUUACUGUAUGUAUGUAUAAGCCGCUUUUACGGCGCGCUAGGGCGCUCUGCGACGCCUACUCUCCACAGGAAUCUGUCACGGUAGAGAUCCUCCGGAAGCUGGCAUCUCUCCAUUUCUUUGCGGAUGCCCUCUACCCACCAUUUGGCUAGACGCCCUCUCCGUCGCCUACCUGGGGGGACCCACUCCAACACCUUCUUCGGCAACCUGGUUUCAGCCAUUCUCUGCACAUGCCCAUACCAUACCAAUUGCUUGGUCAUGAUAUCGUGCACAAUCGUUCCCUCAACGCCCAUUAUCUCUCGGACACGUUCAUUCCUGACACGUUCUCUCCUCGAGAUUCCAGCCGAUCUUCGCCAGAAAUCCAUCUCUGUCGCCUUGAGCAUUUCUUGGGUCCGCUUCUUCAACUGUCACACUUCACUGCCAUAGGUUAUUAUACAAUGUUAAAAAUCAAUGAUUUACUCUGAGUGAAUAGCCGGCGUGAAAAAAAAGUCCAGCGCGAAUUUCGCGCCGUACUCUGAGUGAAUAGAUCAGAGCGUAAUAAAUAGCACCAACGACGGGCGAAUUAGUUGAGAUACCUCAAGUAGCAUGAAUUCAGGGCUACCUGAUUCGAGCGCCGAAUGGCAAAGUGGUGGCGCACUCGCCUGUCAUCGCCGCGACUCUAGUUCGAAUCCUUGCUGCGGCAGUUCCGUUUUACGUUUGCCUGUCAGAUUUUCACUCCCGCCAGAAGAGCGCGAAAUUCGCGCCGGAUCCGCAUGCACUCAGAGUAACAGGUGGUCAAAUAGCAACUGAGUAAGCGUGAAUUUUGCGCCGGGAUUUUUAAAAGUGUAGGCUUGACAACCGAGUUUUAAAUCCUCUUUUUGGCGUCCUUGGAAAUCUUAUGGGGGGCUAAUUACUAACUCCUCAAAAAGUUUGAACGUAAUUUUAUUAGCAUUCUUUCAGAUGGUGUAUCUCAAAACUUGAAAGUAGAGAAGAGAAUAUCAUUUACAAAAAAGAAAAGGAGGAGAGAGAAUAUCUACGUUUGAUUCAGAUCAGUGCAGUAUAUUUGUACCGUUUUCACCGCGCACCGCGUACCGCGACGCUUCACUUAAAUUGCCCAGCGGGUGCAUUCUUUGACACCAAAAAUUGUUAAUUGGUAUCAAAUGAAAUGUGAGAUAAUUUUCCAUCGCCGUUACUUAAGGGAAAAGAGCCAUUUGCUCGCGCGUGUUACAUAGUUAACGCUCUUGAAUGGGUGGAAUUCCAAAUUAUGGAAGUUUUCCGAAUGACCAUCCAUGUGUGCCUUUGGCGAAAAAAUUUAUGAAGUAGACUUCUAUAAAAGCAUUUUAGCUUCAGAACGAGACCAAGAAAAUGAAAAUCACACACUUAGUUUCCGAGCUACCUAUAGCGCGCUGAAAAAAACGCUUGGCGGCCAUCUUUAAUGGCCGCCAUCCCGGUUCCUGCAUGGAUCCCAGAGGGCUCCCCCUCCUAAAAGAGCUUCUUAUGACCAUAAGGAUGAUCCCUGAAAGCGGCAAUUUUCAAUCAAAAAGUGCAGGGUUUUAGUCAUUAUUCAAUCGUUCCCCGCGUGCUAUACUGCUCACGUGUAUAUUUAAGAAUGGGAACUGAGUGUAUGUCUUUCGACUGCCCAUGUCCACGACAGUGAAGAAAAAGCGACUAUUUUCGAUGAUCAAGGAAGGCAACCCCCUCUUUUGCUAUUACGCUUAUCUACUUAUUGCUGCCAUUAACAAUGAAGAUAUGAGGUAAACUUAUGUUUGAAUCAAAUAAAAGAACGCGCCAUGCCACGCUUGCCGCGUGGUCUCUCAAUUCAAACAUUUCUCGGUGGGGUUAGCUUUUUUGUGAUCACGUUUAAAUGU
rnacentral:lncRNA from 1 species